AACUAUCACACAAUCAAAUUAUUUAGCUUCCGUUAAACUUUCAGCACGAUCAGUUAGCUCAUGAUUAAUCUAACGGGCUCUAUAUUUUGAUUAUUUAUUUGCAGCACUUUAUUUUAAAAGAAAAAAUAUACUCUUUAACAUUGAUGAAUACCUUUCAUCCUAAUACAGUCAAUUUUUUUCAAUAAAUCUUUUAUCUAUCUAUUUAUAUAAAAAAAAGUUUUGUAUGUAUGUAUGUAUGUAGGUAUGUUCCAGCAUAACUCUCGAAGGCCUGAACCGAUUUCAACCAAACAUGGCAUACGUGUUUUUUGUACAAAGGAAGUGGUCAAAGAAAUAUUGGAUAGGGGGAGGGGUUGCCCUUAAAGAAGGAGGGGGUCAAAAGUAAUAAAUUUUCAUACAUAAUAAAAACCUUUCAUUGAAAUUUGAUCAUUUUCGGGUUCUUGGUCAUAUUUGGAGGCCGGAAGUUGAUGUCCAGAGACCGAAACAUGAUGUUCGAUGCCAUUUUCAAUCCAAGAUGGCGACUUCCGGUUUCUGAGAAGCCAUUUAAAACUGUGGAAAACGCUCACAAACCCCCCAAUGUUGGUACUUUUGGAGCAAAAAUGACUCUUAAGAACCGGUUAUCGGUGUCUGACGAUACUUUGAAACUUGGGUUGCCGACUUUCGGUUUAUGGGAAUCUGGGAAAAUUAAUAAUUGAAUUAUAUACUUGGCAAUACGGGUAUUUUCGGAAUCGGAAUGACGUCGUCAUACGAAAAUCGAUCAUAUAUUUCCAAAUAUUGGCCUUUUUGAAAAUCGGCUUUCGUGCAAAUGUUUCUAGAGAAGUGUUUCAAAACAUCCAACCUACUUUGAUCCGUUUUUGGAAAGAUUUCUUGACAUAUUUCUUGCAUAAUUUAAUAACGUAGAGUCCAAUUUAGCAUUUUGGAUAAAAAAUAUGUUUGGAAAAGUUGCUGAAGCUCAACUUUUACCGAAUUGAAAUUUGGUUAAGAGCAUCGAUCAAAUAAGAGUUUUUUCAUGCAUUAUAGGAACUUUCUGAAUGAAUACGAUAGUUUUUAGGCCUUUGGUCAUGUCUGGAGACCGGAAAUUGAUUUCCAGAGACCGGAACAUGAAGCGGUCUUAAUUUAAAAGAAAGUCAGGUCUUUUAGUGCCCUAUGGGAACUUUUUGAAAAGGUACGAUAACUUUCAUGCCCUCGGUCGGUCAUGGCCAGAAGUUGAUGUCUAAGGACCGGAAUAUGAUGUCCGAUGUUUUUCUUAAACAAAAAUGGCGACUUUUGGUUUCUGGGAAACUAUAUACAACUGUUAAAUGUAAUAUACGAUCUAAAUUUAAGUAUUCACAAAGUAGAGUGUACUUUGGUUCAAAUGUCAAGUGGGCCUAAUGCCCAAACCCUUGUUAUGUAAACAUAUACAUAAUUAACAUAUAAGGUUCGCAAGGUUUGCUGAGCAGUAAAAUAAAUAAGUUCGACCUCUUCGAUUCAGAUCGUCAGCGAUAACGGACGUGUUUCAGCCGUUUGAGUAAAACCGAAAGCAUAAAGAUAAAACUAAAAUUUAUUAGUGGCGACCAGGUGAAAAAAAGUUUAAGUUUCGCGUGUGAUAUUGGUUGCUGUUGCUGUACUGCGAUUAUUUGCUACACGAUGGUGUACGGGCGUUGGGCGGAGUUCUCCAGGAAGCAGAUUCUUCACGGGAGCUUAAUUUUGAUCGCCGGUCAAAAGUGACGCUUAUAUGCAUCGGCUAAAUUUUGGCAUGCAAUUUAGGGGAUAGCAGGAUACAUCUGGACUAUAACGGAACUUUCGGUUUUCAACGAUUUUAUUGGAUUCUGUUUUUUCGCAAAACGAAGCAUCGAUAAAAGAAUCGAUUUGGCUUGGCAAAAAAUUCAAGAGAAGAUCGCACUGACAAUAAAGGGAUUUAGCAAUAAUAGCUGGCGUUUUAAACGGUUAUGAUCAAUGGCAUUGGUUGUGAAGAUCUCGAUCGGAUCAGUCUUGGUCUCGGCCCACAAGGGGCAGAUUAAACUCCCAAAGAAGUCUGAACACAGGCGCAAUGUGGCGUUUCAGAUGGUGGACCAUACGGCGCGAACACUCAGUCGAGGCACGAAAAGGCGACAUGAGGAUUCCGAGGACGAAGAGCCGUUUCAUGGAUUUUCACCCGGCAUGGAAACGCUACCGCCAAACAGAAGUGAAGUACACCCACGAGUAUUUCAAUCGAAUCGAAUCGCAAAGUGCAGGAGUUUCAAAUGGCUCCACUCGAAGUAACAUUAAUGAAGGAUUGAGAAGAUCUACCAGGGCUGUGAAGAAAAGAUUUGAUGGAAAUUUUAUAUAUUUCAAGUGAUAUUAAAUUUAACUUGAGUUCUGAAAUUCAAAGGUAGAAGAUAGAUUGUAAAUUGGUUCAAAUGUCAAAUGGGCCUAAUGCCCAAACCCUUGUUAUGUAAACAUAUACAUAAUUAACAUAUAAGGUUCGCAAGGUUUGCUGAGCAGUAAAAUAAAUAAGGUCGAUCUCUUCGAUUCAGAUCGUCAGCGAUAACGGACGUGUUUCAGCCGUUUGAGUAAAACCGAAAGCAUAAAGAUAAAACUAUAAUUUAUUAUAAAAAACAUUUACAAACCUCCAAACAUUGGUAUUUCCGGAACCAGGAUAACCUUUAGAAACCAGAAAUAAAAGUCCAACGACAUUUUUUAAAUUCAAUAUGGUGACUUCCGAUUUCAAAAUUUUGUGAAAAACGAAUAUAUGCUCUGCAAUAUGUAUAUUUUCGAUAUCAAGAUGACGUCCAGAAUCCAAAUAUUCAUGUCCGGUGCAAAUUUUUAAAUCGUACAUGGCGGAUUACAUUUUCUGGGAAGGUUACUAGAAUACAGAA